GCCCGGGGAGGAAGCGCGUAUAGGUUGAGUGCAAAGUUUCCUUUUUUGCUUUCUCGUCAGAGCAGCCCAGACAGGCGGUGGGUGGGAAUGCCUCACUUCAGUUUGAAGAGGGUCCGGAUCCAAAGGGGUUAAAACGAGCGACCCCCGAUCCCCGACCACACUUCCCGCCUCCCUAAAACGCACACCCCGCUAGCCAUGGGCAGCCGCGACCACCUGUUCAAAGUGCUGGUGGUGGGGGACGCCGCAGUGGGCAAGACGUCGCUGGUGCAGCGAUAUUCCCAGGACAGCUUCAGCAAACACUACAAGUCCACGGUGGGAGGAGCGCUUCACCUCUAUGACACGAUUGUAUUAUCGGGAUGCCUCUGCCUGUGUUAUUAUGUUUGACGUUACCAAUGCCACUACCUUCAGCAACAGCCAGAGGUGGAAACAGGACCUAGACAGCAAGCUCACACUACCCAAUGGAGAGCCGGUGCCCUGCCUGCUCUUGGCCAACAAGGUAUGUGGCCAAUCUCAGAAAAUGGUCCCUAGCCUCUAUCUGUGGUUAGAAAGGAAGUAAAAUGCUCUCUGAUUCUGGGCAUCCAUUUCCCCUUCUUAAGUUGGCAAAAUCAUCUCUACCUCCUUCAAAGGAUGUUGAGGGUGAGUGAGACUUUCUUUCUUUUUUUUUUUUUUGAGACGGAGUCUCGCUCUGUUGCUCAGGCUGGAGUGCAGUGGCGCGAUCUCGGCUCACUGCCAGCUCUGCCUCCCAGGUUCACGCCAUUCUCUUGCCUCAGCCUCCCGAGUAGCUGGGACUACAGGUGCCCACCACCACACCCAGCUAAUUUUUUUGUAUUUUUAGUAGAGACUGGGUUUCAUUGUGUUAGCCAGGAUGGUCUCGCUCUCCUGACCUCAUGAUCUGCCCGCCUCAGC
rnacentral:lncRNA from 1 species